rnacentral:rRNA from 1 species
GGUAUUUAUUGCUAGCUGGUCUCAAUGGCCAUGUUAGUUAAUAGAUCCUCAGCAAGUUGGAUUCGAUUAAUAAUGAUCUUUAUCGAUUGUUAUUAGUUGCCAACACGUUUACUUUGAGAAAAUUAGAGUGCUAAAAGCAGGCUCACGCCUAUAUAUAUUGCAUGGAAUAAUGAAAUAAGAUCUCGAUUUUAUUUCGUUGGUUUUAGAAAUUGAGAUA